UUCAUACUCCCUCCGUUCGGAAUUACUUGUCACAAGAAUGGAUGUAUCUACAACCAAAAUACAUCUAGAUACAUUCAUUUCUUGGACGAGUAAUUCCGAACGGAGGGAGUACAUG
rnacentral:pre_miRNA from 1 species